rnacentral:tRNA from 1 species
GGAAGUGUAUCGAAGCGGUCACAACGAGGCGGUCUUGAAAACCGUUUGGGUGCAAGCCCACGGGGGUUCGAAUCCCUCCACUUCCGCCA